rnacentral:tRNA from 1 species
CCGACCUUAGCUCAGUUGGUAGAGCGGAAGACUGUAGUUAUAGCUGUGAUCUUUAGGUCACUGGUUCGUUUCCGGCAGGUCGGA